UAUAGAGGUCGGGAUUGUUGCGUCACGUCGCAAUGCAUUGUGGGAAUCGCGGUAUGGAAGUAGAUGUACUGUAUAGUAGGCAUUAGGGCAAACGCCUCGUGAAUCAUAUUAGUUUUCAACAUUUUCCUACUUGGAAAAAAAACACAAGGUGUCUGAAAUCACCAAGAGGCGUCAGAUGGCUUGGGUCGCCGCUGUACGGAGGAAAACCAUCACCUUCGAUAAUAUUAUAAUACAUAGUUAUGAUGAGACAUGUUGUGUAUGGUGUCUCUCUCUCUCUCUCACACACACACACACACACACACUCAGACACACACAUAUUACGUUUUCUCUAGUUUUUGGCCAGUAAGUGAGUCAGUUUAGUGUCUGUAUUUUUUGUUUAAAAAUUUUCUUUUGACCCAAUCCUGAACUUAAUUUGCUUUUUGAUAUUUUUGUGCUGACUGUAUUUACAAAUUUGAAAAACUUGUUUGAAAAAAAAAAAAAAAAACUGGAACGAACUUCAAAA